rnacentral:rRNA from 1 species
GGCAGCCAUAUCACCCUGCAGCCCAAGACUGGUUGCCCACUGAAGCUAAGCAGGGCUGAGCCUGGUCAGUACCUUUUCCCUCGGCAUCCAGGCCAAAUUUGCCC